UACGUAGGGUGCAAGCGUUGUCCGGAAUUAUUGGGCGUAAAGAGCUCGUAGGCGGUCUGUCGCGUCUGCUGUGAAAACUCGGGGCUUAACCCCGGGCCUGCAGUGGGUACGGGCAGACUAGAGUGCGGUAGGGGAGACUGGAAUUCCUGGUGUAGCGGUGAAAUGCGCAGAUAUCAGGAGGAACACCGAUGGCGAAGGCAGAAUCUCUGGGCCGUAACUGACGCUGAGGAGCGAAAGCAUGGGGGAGCGAACAGG
rnacentral:rRNA from 1 species